AUGCAAAGUAACAAUAUGAAAAAAAAGAAUGGCAUAAUUUCACAUGAGAUAUAAGAAUUAUCAUAAUUCCUAUAAUGUCAGACACCAAGAAAUGUGUUAUUGAGCAACACAAAAUGAGCACAACGCA
rnacentral:lncRNA from 1 species